AUUGAACGCUGGCGGCAUGCUUUACACAUGCAAGUCGAACGGCAGCGCGGGCUUCGGCCUGGCGGCGAGUGGCGCACGGGUGAGUAAUGCAUCGGAACGUGCCCCGUAGUGGGGGAUAGCCCGGCGAAAGCCGGAUUAAUACCGCAUACGACCUGAGGGUGAAAGCGGGGGACCGAAAGGCCUCGCGCCAUUGGAGCGGACGAUGUCGGAUUAGCUAGUUGGUGGGGUAAAGGCUUACCAAGGCGACGAUCCGUAGCUGGUCUGAGAGGACGACCAGCCACACUGGAACUGAGACACGGCCAAGACUCCUACGGGAGGCAGCAGUGGGGAAUUUUGGACAAUGGGGGCAACCCUGAUCCAGCCAUGCCGCGUGCGGGAAGAAGGCCUUCGGGUUGUAAACCGCUUUUGUUCGGGAAGAAAUCCUCUGGGCUAAUACCCCGGGGGGAUGACGGUACCGGAAGAAUAAGCACCGGCUAACUACGUG
rnacentral:rRNA from 1 species